UACGUAGGGAGCUAGCGUUGUUCGGAAUCACUGGGCGUAAAGCGCACGUAGGCGGAUGUGUCAGUCAGGGGUGAAAUCCUGGAGCUCAACUCCAGAACUGCCUUUGAUACUGGCGAUCUUGAGUUCGGGAGAGGUGAGUGGAACUUCGAGUGUAGAGGUGAAAUGCGCAGAUAUCAUGAGGAAGACCAGUGGCGAAGGCGGGUCUCUGGACAGUUCCUGACACUGAGGCACGAAGGCCAGGGGAGCAAACGGG
rnacentral:rRNA from 1 species